GCGAGUGUAGUACAGUGGUAGUACACUAGCUUCCCAAGCUAGGGACGAGGGUUCGAUUCCCUUCACUCGCUCUA
rnacentral:tRNA from 1 species